CAAGAACCCGACGAACGUUAUUCGGAAUUACUGGGCUUAAAGGGUGCGUAGGCGGUGCGGUAAGUGCGGUGUGAAAGCCCACGGCUCAACCGUGGAAUUGCGCUGCAUACUGCCGUGCUAGAGGGAGACAGGGGUAAGCGGAACUGAUGGUGGAGCGGUGAAAUGCGUUGAUAUCAUCAGGAACACCGGUGGCGAAAGCGGCUUACUGGGUCUUCACUGACGCUGAGGCACGAAAGCUAGGGUAGCGAACGGG
rnacentral:rRNA from 1 species